rnacentral:ribozyme from 1 species
CGCCGAUUCCAACGGCUUCACCGCACGGGGAUGGAAUCACGAUGCCGCCACGGUCGCUCUGAGAGCAUCCCGGGAUUGCUUACAACGAAUGGAAAUGUUUGUGGAGGAGUUGGCAACUUGUAGGAAAGAGGAGGCGGCGUGCGUGACGAGUGCGGUGGAUAAGUUGAGUGGCUUUCGGGAGGAGAUGCUGUUGUUGGAGCAGGAGAGUGGCAGUGGUAGUCACUACGAGAU